UAUCAUGAUGAGCAUUUUAUUUACUGCGUUAUCGUAUUGACGGGGGACUGUUUUAUUACAGUCUUGCUUUAUAAUCUAUAUUCAUUUAUAUUUUAUAUUUCUUACCGAGGAAAUUGACUUCUAACAGAUUUGCUGAAA
rfam:Saccharomyces kudriavzevii IFO 1802 unplaced genomic scaffold c1475, whole genome shotgun sequence.